ACGGGAAUGAAGUGUUACGCAAUUCUAUUAACGAAAUUUACCUCUGCUGUUUAGUUUCCAUAUUGUGCGUAGAAGCAACAGUGCGUGCACUUUCAGCUGCUCAGUUUAUCUUCAAUGCUGCUCUCAUUUUGUAGAGUUCAUCACUUGUGCAUGUGCAACACAUUGGCGGAGGCAAUAGGAACUGCAUUUCUCACUAGCUGGACAAGUCGGAAUAGCAAUGCACCUUGGAGAACAAGACUCGAAUUGUGAAAGUCUGGUGGUCAGCUCUUUGCAAGGACAUGGUGCUAUGCAGCCUUCAGCUGCUGAAGAGGCAAGAUUACAUUUCUGAAUUACACUACACGAUUACAUUACAUUUGAAGAGGCAAUAUUACAUAUUUAAGUGUUUCAA